UGGGGAAUAUUGGACAAUGGGCGAAAGCCUGAUCCAGCCAUGCCGCGUGUGUGAAGAAGGUCUUCGGAUUGUAAAGCACUUUAAGUUGGGAGGAAGGGCAGUAAGCGAAUACCUUGCUGUUUUGACGUUACCGACAGAAUAAGCACCGGCUAACUCUGUGCCAGCAGCCGCGGUAAUACAGAGGGUGCAAGCGUUAAUCGGAAUUACUGGGCGUAAAGCGCGCGUAGGUGGUUCGUUAAGUUGAAUGUGAAAGCCCCGAGCUCAACCUGGGACCUACAUCCAAAGCAGGCGAGCUAGAGUAGGGCAGAGGGUGGUGGAAUUUCCUGUGUAGCGGAGAAAUGCGUAGGUAGAGGAAGGAACACCAGUGGCGAAGGCGACCACCUGGGCUCAUACUGACACUGAGGUGCGAAAGAGUGGGGAGCAAACAGG
rnacentral:rRNA from 1 species